rnacentral:rRNA from 1 species
UGAUCCCUACGGGGCGCAGCAGUGAGGAAUAUUGGUCAAUGGGCUUACGCCUGAACCAGCCAAGUCGCGUGAGGGAAGACUGCCCUAUGGGUUGUAAACCUCUUUUGUCAGGGAGCAAUUGGCGCUACGUGUAGCGUUAUCGAGAGUACCUGAAGAAAAAGCAUCGGCUAACUCCGUGCCAGCAGCCGCGGUAAUACGGAGGAUGCGAGCGUUAUCCGGAUUUAUUGGGUUUAAAGGGUGCGUAGGCGGUCCGUUAAGUCAGCGGUAAAAUUGCGGGGCUCAACCCCGUCGAGCCGUUGAAACUG